rnacentral:rRNA from 1 species
AGAGUUUGAUCCUGGCUCAGGACGAACGCUGGCGGCGUGCCUAAUGCAUGCAAGUCGAGCGGGCUACAGUCUUCGGAUUGUAGCUUAGCGGCGAACGGGUGAGUAACACGUAGGUAAUCUACCCUUCAGAGGAGGACAACCUCAGGAAACUGAGGCUAAACCUUCAUACGUUCACUGGUAGGGAUACUGGUGAAGAAAGAGUUACCGUUGAGGUGGCUGCUGAAGGAUGAGCCUGCGGCCCAUCAGGUAGUUGGUGAGGUAACGGCUCACCAAGCCGAAGACGGGUAACCGGUCUGAGAGGAUGUCCGGUCACACUGGGACUGAGACACGGCCCAGACUCCUACGGGAGGCAGCAGCAGGGAAUCUUGGGCAAUGGGCGAAAGCCUGACCCAGCGACGCCGCGUGGAGGAAGAAGUCCUUCGGGGCGUAAACUCCUGGACUGGGGGACGAGGAAGGACGGUACCCCAGUAGAAAGGGACGGCUAACUACGUGCCAGCAGCCGCGGUAAAACGUAGGUCCCGAGCGUUGUUCGGAUUCACUGGGUGUAAAGGGCGCGUAGGUGGUUGUCUGUGUCUCAUGUGAAAACUCAGGGCUCAACUCUGAGAUUGCGUGGGAAACUAGGCAGCUAGAGGACGGUAGAGGGGAGUGGAAUUCCCGGUGUAGCGGUAAAAUGCGUAGAUAUCGGGAGGAACACCGGUGGCGAAGGCGGCUCUCUGGGCCGAUCCUGACGCUGAGGCGCGAAAGCUAGGGGAGCGAACCGGAUUAGAUACCCGGGUAGUCCUAGCCGUAAACGAUGGGUGCUAGGUGUUGGGGGGGUAAAGACCCUUCAGUGCCGAAGCCAACGCGAUAAGCAUCCCACCUGGGGAGUACGGCCGCAAGGUUGAAACUCAAAUGAAUUGACGG